UGUAGUCAAGUUGGGUCAGAUAGUACAACAAAUAUCAAGUUGUAACACCCCAAAAUUUGCCCUCCUCAUUCAUGCAUUCAUUUAGCAUUUCAUAUUGCAUUUCAUCAUGUCAAUCAGAAUUAGAUCAAAAAAAAAAAAAAAAAAAAAAAAAAAAAAAAAAAAAAAAAAAAAAAAAAAAAAAAAAAAAAAAAAAAAAAAAAAAAAAAAAAAAAAAAAAAAAAAAN
rnacentral:lncRNA from 1 species